rnacentral:rRNA from 1 species
UACAGAGGUGGCAAGCGUUGUUCGGAUUUAUUGGGCGUAAAGGGUCCGUAGGCGGUCCGGAAAGUCAGAUGUGAAAUCCUACAGCUUAACUGUAGAACUGCAUUUGAAACUUCCGGACUAGAGUGUGAGAGGGGUAAAGGGAAUUCCCGGUGUAAGGGUGAAAUCUGCAGAGAUCGGGAGGAACACCAGUCGCGAAAGCGCUUUACUGGCUCAUUACUGACGCUCAGGGACGAAAGCUAGGGGAGCAAACGGG